rnacentral:rRNA from 1 species
GACGAACGCUGGCGGCGUGCCUAAUACAUGCAAGUAGAACGCACAGUUUAUACCGUAGCUUGCUACACCAUAGACUGUGAGUUGCGAACGGGUGAGUAACGCGUAGGUAACCUGCCUGGUAGCGGGGGAUAACUAUGGGAAACGAUAGCUAAUACCGCAUAAUAUUAAUUAUUGCAUGAUAAUUGAUUGAAAGAUGCAACUGCAUCACUACCAGAUGGACCUGCGUUGUAUUAGCUAGUAGGUGAGGUAACGGCUCACCUAGGCGACGAUACAUAGCCGACCUGAGGGGGUGAUCGGCCACACUGGGACUGAGACACGGCCCAGACUCCUACGGGAGGCAGCAGUAGGGGAUCUUCGGCAAUGGACGAAAGUCUGACCGAGCAACGCCGCGUGGGUGAAGAAGGUUUUCGGAUCGUAAAGCUCUGUUGUAAGAGAAGAACGGGUGUGAGAGUGGAAAGUUCACACUGUGACGGUAUCUUACCAGAAAGGGACGGCUAACUACGUG